rnacentral:snRNA from 1 species
GUGCUCGCUUUGGCAGCACUUAAACUAAAAUUACAGUGAUACAAGGAAGAUUAAUGUGGCCCCUGCACUAGGAUGACAUGUCAAUUCAUGAUGCAUUCCAUAUUUUU